UACGAAGGGGGCUAGCGUUGCUCGGAAUCACUGGGCGUAAAGCGCACGUAGGCGGAUCUUUAAGUCAGGGGUGAAAUCCCAAGGCUCAACCUUGGAACUGCCUUUGAUACUGGGGAUCUCGAGUCCGGAAGAGGUGAGUGGAACUGCGAGUGUAGAGGUGAAAUUCGUAGAUAUUCGCAAGAACACCAGUGGCGAAGGCGGCUUACUGGUCCGGUUCUGACGCUGAGGCGCGAAAGCGUGGGGAGCAAACAGG
rnacentral:rRNA from 1 species